CCUUGGAGAUGUUAUCUCAUUUUUCUUUGUCAUUUCUUGCUAUUGUUGAGAUGCUUGAAGAAGACUGUCUGAUCUUUCAUCAUUUGAUUGUAAUAACUCUGCAUUGCUUGUAGGAUUUUUUUGUCUUUGUCCUUCUAUUUCUAGAUUCUUGCCAAGAUAGGUCUACUUAUUGCUCUCUUUGUUGAUUUUUUCUGUGCAGUUGAUUACAUCAUGUCCCCUCAAAAUUUGCAUCUACUUGGAAUAUCAGAAUGUGACCUGACUUGGAAAGAAGGUCUCUAAAGACACAAGUGGCUACAAAUGAAAUCAUCCUGGACUUAGGGCACCCUCAAUCCAAUAAUUGGUGUCCUUAUAAGACUGUAUUACAACCCUGUAAUAUACAGAGAACUGGUAGUCAUGCAGAUGGUUCUUGUCCGUGUGAAUGGAGAAAGGAAGAGACCCAGUGAGGCAAGAGUGAGGAGAAGCAAGCUGCCAUGUUGUGGAGAGGCUUGUGUGUCAAGAAACUGCAGUUUCCAGCUGAUAGCGAGAAACUGAGGACUGCCAACAGCCACGUGAGUGAUCUCAGAAGCAUCCUCUAGACAAGCCUUGAGAUGAUGGCAAGCUGUGGCUGACAGUUUGACUGCCACUUUAUGAGAGAGACUGAUUCAGAUGGAUUCCAGCCACGCUGCUCCUGGAUGCCUGACCCACAGAAACUGCAAUAACAAAUUGUGAUGGUCAUCGGUGGGCAGGAAAGAUGUUUUCUUCAGUGACCUUGAAAUGCUGGUGGCGUGGACUGGAUGGUUGUGACCUAGCUCCUUCCUCACCUGCCAACCCUCUCUCAAGAUAGAUCCUGGGAGGCAGGAGUCGGACUCCAGCAGAGGGGAGGUGCGACGAUGUCCAGGUGGGUCUGUGCGGGCAUGCCCGGAGGAGGCUUCUCUAGGACAGGACAUGGCUCACCUGGGCAGUCCAGGCUGCUGCAAGAACAAACACCCAGUGAUGGGGCAGAGGGAGGAAAGAAAGGAUCCUGCCCCUGAUCCAGCAGCUGAAAGUGAGAAGCUGAUAAUAGCAAGGAGGCCUGAAAUGCACCCCAUGGUAAUCAAGCCAUCUGGCACAAGCCCGCUGGGAAAGGAGGCCACAUCCGGCCUGCCAGGCCUCACUGUGCAAAGGUGGGGUGCAGCGGUCAGUGUCAGCAGCACGACGCCAGCCACCCUCUGGAGCUGGAGGCUGGGGGUGGGGGGAGUUCUCAUCUCAAGGCCAUGGGGCUGAGGCCAGUUCUCACCUGCCAGAGGUAGGGAAGGAGCGAACAGUCAAGGCCAUCUGUUCCUGGCCCCAGGUCUGCACCAGGCUCGACUUUCACUGCGAGGAAGCCUUUGGAAACUGCAUCCUGGACCUUUUAUUAGCUCGGAUGGUGGUUUUUAAGAGCUUUAUGGAUGCCUGAACACUAAUAGUGAGCCCUUACCCUGCCCUCACUAAGUACCAGGCACUGUUCUGAGAGCUUUUGUCUCAAUCACCUCACUGAGCGCUCAUAAGAACUCUACAAGAUAGGAGUUAUCCCCAUUUUAUAGAGUGGGAGGGGAGGCCUGGAAAGGGGGCAGAGCUAGGAAUCAAUGCCAUAACUCUGCUCCUGAGCCCCGCCCUUCGCUGCUGGGCCACACUGCCCUAUUGUCCCAGAGCACAGGCUGGAGUGCAGAUUCAGUCUUACUUGUCCACUGGGAAACCAAACGUCCUAGAGAUGAGGCCUGUGGGUGAUUAGCCAGGACAGGUGAUAGCAUGCCAUCAGAAUUGACCAGCCCCUAACUUAGAGCAGGCAGGGGGCUCGUCCAACCCCACCCCCUCCUAAGGUUAGUGCACCCAGAUCUGGAGAGCUUUCCUGGGGUCACGCAGCGAGAAAAUGAUGACACAAGAAUCCAAAGUUUUCUGACAGUCCCUUCAAUUGCUGUGUAUUAUCUUUCUUUCUCUAGGAAAGUAAGACUAUGCCCCUGCCCUGGCACCCCAGUCCCAUCCACCUAAGCCCCCACAGUGGACAGCAGGAGUGUUGUUGGUGUCAGGUGGCAGUUAUCUGCUGGAGGUUUCCUGAGGGUCAGGGAGCCAUGUUGACCUGAUCACUAGUUCCUGCCCGCCUAGGGAGCCCCCUCCAUCUGGUAGAGAGGAUUGAGAACUGGAGAUGCUUCAUCCCAUGCCUCCUGGCUCUCCUCCCUCUUGGCUGAGGGCUGGUUGGUGUCUCUGGAGGCUGUUUGACCUGUGGGCCUUGCCCAGACCUCAGUUUGGGUUGCAUUGGGAUCGAGCCCCCGGCCAGGUCCCAGAGAGGAGUCUCAGGCCUGGAACCGAGAUUGCGGGUUGGACAGGGCUUCACCAGGUAAUCAUUGCUGGUAAUGGCAAAGGCUUUGAAUGAAGUGUCCAAACUGGUUUAACACCCUUUUGGUAUUUCUCUUAUUUUGUGGAUUUAUAUCAUUCACCUACUAAGGACCUCUCUUACCUAAUCUCUAUUCCCUGAGGAAUGAAAGAGUAGAUAAAGUUUUUUGUUUGUUUUGUUUGUUUGAGGGCUGUACUCCUGUCUCCUGGGAUGGCCUCAGCUGGUCCAGCUGAGGGGGGUCUAGCUGAGGGGGAGUCCAGCCCCAGGAGGGCCAGCUCUAGGGCUGCUUGGAUCAAGGCCCAAAGUACCUUCAAUGUUCCUCCUAAAUCUGUGGUUCCAAGAAUAUUAUUUAGCACCUACUGGCAUUCCACCAACAGAAGAUAUAAGAGAAGAAACGUCCUUCGAUUCCUAAUCAAACAACAUCGAUGAAGCAAUUAGUAUAUAGAAGGUGCUAGGCAAGAAGCAUUCUAGUUUCCUGUUGUGGAGGAGUUUACAGUCUGAAAGAAAGGUAAGACACACGCACACGAUGGGAAGUUCAGGAUCAGAAAGAGAGACAGUGCAGAACAAGGGAGCAGUACCGCUUCAUUGCCAAAUGAAGGACCCAAGAACAGUUUUCAUAUGAAAGUGUUUCACAGAGUAGCUGAUGUAGCAGGACUUAUUCAUAACCAAAGGAUGCCAGCAAAAGACAUGGCCAACAUGAAUGGCAGUAUGAAGAAUCAGGUCAGGAGUUCAGAGGAGAGAAUUGGCUAGAAUUGUUGGGGCUGGGUUUUGGAAGACAUGAGCGUGUGGUGGGCAUUUGCUGGGCUUUGGGUUUCCUGUGUGUAUUCUCCCUUAUUCUGGAGACUAUCCUCAUCUCUUUCUGGGAAGAACCCCCUUUCCCUUCAUCAAUCUAGGAAGUGUCAGUUGGGUUGCAGGUGAGAGCAUCACACUCCUCCCCCAUCACCCAACCCUAACAUUGGUCCAGGGAAUGGACCCAAUGACAGCCAAGGAACACGUGCAACAUGUGCUGGGGCCGUUAGGAGCGAGGAACAUUCUCUCUCUCACUGGGCUUGAACCUGCAGUUCACUUUGCAAUGCAAAUCUCUUGCCACCAGAAGUGUAGAGUCUGUCUGCGGGUGGCACCAACAUAGAGGAAGCAAGACCAAGAGGUGAUCAUCAGGUGCUUGUGACUUCUUGCAAGACCCUGGUUCAAGCCGUGCCUGAAGACGGACCUACCCUCUGGACUUUUCAACUGUAUGCUCCUGAGGCCUCCUACAGACAGAAUGAAGCUGAACUUGGAUGCAUCCUCUGGGUGAGGCAGCAUAAGAUCGGUCCGGAUGAAAUCCCUCCUUGUUGAUGAAGAUAUCUGCCGCAUCGUCAAAGCCUCUGGCUCUUCUCCGCGGUAGAAUGAAAGAUCCCAACCUGGCUGAGCUCAGGGUGGAAAUGUUUGCGGAACUUUCGGUUAGGUGCUGGUAAAAGGAGCAUGCGGCCAGAGCGGCUCUGAAAACCCAGAGGAGCUGGAAGCUGACCUCCGACAGGAGUGGUCAUGUGCACGUUUGUCCAGACUGCAAGAUUUCCUCCCUGGCCUUGGUCUCUGCUCUCUGGAUUCACAUUAUGUUCUGUCCCUCCAGCCCAGCCCCACCCUUUCCAUGAAGCCUUCCAUAAACUCUGCCAGGCCACCAUGACUGGUGCCUCCUCACCCAGCAGUCAGAUCGGGUACACCAUGCCCCAGAAUUCAGCUGCUACGUGCUCCUAGUACUUAGCUGUGAGCCUUCUUUCUUUAAGACGAUGGAAAGCCUGGGGGCACCUGGGUGGCUCAGUCAGUUGAGUGCCUGACUCUUGAUUUUGGCUCAGGUCAUGAUCUCCAGGUUGUGUUGGGUUCGUGCUGACGGCACACAGCCUGCUUGGGAUUCUCUCCCCCCACCCCCCUCUGCCCAUCCUCCCACUCUUCUCUCUCAAAAAUAAAUAAGCUUUUUUAAAAAAGAGGACGGAAAGCGUGAAGGCAGAGACUAUGUUUUCUCAGCACUGGGUUGAGUAUAAAGUACAGGUGGAAUGAAAUUUAAUUGCACCAAAUAGAAGAUGGACCAGCCAGGACCUUCCGAAGAUGCCUGUUUAUUAUAAAUAAUAAGAUGGAAAACUUACAUUAACUGGAUUCUUCAGAGAGAGAGAGAGUGUGUGCGAAGGACAAGCCGUGCAUACUUUGAUCUGUCUCAUGGGUAGAAGGAAAGUGGGCUGCGAGAGACUCUCAGGGGCAUUCGCUAUAUAGUUGCUACUUUUUUUCUAAGGGGUUUGCAGGUUUGAAUCAGAGCCAAACUCAGCAGGAAGACAGAGGGCAACUGGCUGCUUCUCCCCCUUCACCAGGCAAAGAUGGCACCAGCCUCUAACUAUGUGUGCCCAAAUGUGUUUGCAGGGCGCCAUACUAUGAGCCCGCCCUGGACCUUACACUUCUGCCUCUGGCCUGGUAGCUGUACAACAAACACAGCAUAUUCUCAGUCCAUCUUUUUUAAGUGAACCCACAAAGAGAAUUGCAAUGAGCAAGUUGAGCUUUUCUUCCCUGGGAGAAAAUCAUCUUAAGGCAUAGUUCACACUGAACUCUCUUGAUUGAAAGGGAGGGAGAGAACCUGCUUCUGGAGUCCAUGUUCUCUGGGCCUUACCAGCCACAGAGGGGUCCAGGGGACAGCACCAGCAUCACUCAGAAGACUGUUGGAAAUACAGAAUCUUGGCCUCUACCCCAGAUCUACUGAUUUCCAGUCUGAAUUGUAACGGGAUUUGUAUGUGCUGUUCUAUAGAACACGGAGUGACCUAAGUCUGGACUUUGGAACUAAGUACAAAUAAAUCUCUAAUGUGAAAAUGGCAUCCACAAAUCAUCCCUCAAGCAAUGAGGUUUUAUUGAAAUCUGCUGGGUGCCUAGUCCUGCGUUAAGCACUGCGGGGAAAGAAAGAGGCAGGGGUGGGUCCAGCAAAUAAGGACUCACACUGUGGGAUGCCAAUGGCACACCCUGCCCACCGGUCCCUGCACAAGCCUCCGCCGAGGGGCCGGCUCAUGCCUAACCGAAUUCUCUGCAGCAUACAGCACAGCCCUGGGGUGACACCGGUCACGUGGAUGACCCUUAUUUUCAGCAAUAAUAUGUCAUUAAGAUCGAGCUAGCAAAUCUUCAGGGAAGACAGGCCAGUUCUAACCUCCUUCAUAACAUUUCUCUUUUGCAAUGAAGCAUCGCCGAGUUUGUUGAAAGCUCAUUCAGUGUUGCUAAAGCUCAAACACUCAGGCUUCGCCAAGGUCCAGACUGGAACUGGGAGGUUGUGGGGUGCUGUCCUGGCCUAUUAGCCCAGACUGUUGUUGUACUGUUGAAGUCUGUGCUCCCUGCAUUGUGUCUUGUAAAGGGAGUUGUUUUAGAAUACUAUGCAUAAAAAUGUAGAUUCUGGAGUCAGACUGCCAUGAGUUCAUUUCCAGGCUCUGCCAUUUGCUAGCUGUGUGAGCUGGUGCAAGCCUCAAUUUGCUAGCUAUUAAUAAAGAGAUACUUUAUUUCCUGCUUAA